rnacentral:rRNA from 1 species
CGCGUAGGCGGGAUCGCAAGUCAGAUGUGAAAUGUCGGGGCUUAACCCUGGAACUGCAUUUGAAACUGUGAUUCUUGAGUAUCGGAGAGGCAGGCGGAAUUCCAAGUGUAGCGGUGAAAUGCGUAGAUAUUUGGAGGAACACCAGUGGCGAAGGCGGCCUGCUGGACGACAACUGACGCUGAGGCGCGAAAGCGUGGGGAGCAAACA